rnacentral:rRNA from 1 species
UACGUAGGGGGCUAGCGUUGUCCGGAAUCAUUGGGCGUAAAGCGCGUGUAGGCGGCCCGGUAAGUCCGCUGUGAAAGUCGGGGGCUCAACCCUCGAAAGCCGGUGGAUACUGUCGGGCUCGAGUACGGAAGAGGCGAGUGGAAUUCCCGGUGUAGCGGUGAAAUGCGCAGAUAUCGGGAGGAACACCAAUGGCGAAGGCAGCUCGCUGGGACGGUACUGACGCUGAGACGCGAAAGCGUGGGGAGCGAACAGG